UUUCCGUAGGUGAACCUGCGGAAGGAUCAUUCACAACAUGAGAAUUUUGAAACUUUUUAAACAAUCCAUAUCUACCAUGUUUACAAAGUUUACUUAUCUUCAACAUCAUCCCUAUAUUGGAGUUAUUAGAAAGAGCUCACCUCAAUGAUUUCCCAACAUCACCUUUCACUUAUUAACCUGACAAUUUGUUAGCACGAACUACCUUACUUCGAAAAUAAAAUGUUCAACAAUAGAUCUCUUGGCUCUCGCAUCGAUGAAGACCGCAGCAGAUCGGAAGAA
rnacentral:misc_RNA from 1 species